AAAAAACUGAACAGAGCAUACUGAGAGUACAAUGUACAUUACCCGGCGGGGGGAAGCAUCCUGUUAUAAAAGAAAGUAGAGGAAAGAAUCUUUGCUUCAAUGCCACAAUUCAUAUAGCAAGUCGUAUGAAUGAAAGCAAUGUAAACAAGAAGAGAAUUCCUGCAUUUACUCUGAGAAGAAUGUAUGACGGACAGCGCGAGGAGAUGAGAUCUGGUGUUGCCAAUGACACAAGAAGCUAAACAAUUAAUAAAUGCCAUAUUCUUCAAAGUUGGGAAAGGCUAAUUGCAUGAGAAAGCUGGCCUUCUAUUAGGUAAAGGUGAAGGACCCCUGGACAGUUAAGUCCAAAGGCGACUAUGGGGUUGCGGCGCUCAUCUCGCUUUCA